GGUGUGAUCAGCUGAAGAGCCGAGCACAAUGGAUAUACAUGUGAUGGAUGAUGUUUCCCUCCAUAAUAAGGAGAGGGUAUUUAGUUCCUUUUCUUCCUGUAUAUAAUAUUAGAUAGAGAUUGUGGAUCAUAUAUAUCUUCAGUACAUCACAUGAAUCUCCUUGCAUGAGAUUUUACUGAUAUCUAUGGUAGUUCAAGUUUUUGUAUAAUCGGAAAUAUUGUGGAAGCUUACUUGAGUUUUUCCUUGUAAAUACUAUUUUUGACCCCUUUAGAUGGCAGCCAUAUGGGCAUUAUAUUACGAGGGUUCAU
rnacentral:lncRNA from 1 species